rfam:Pseudozyma flocculosa PF-1 unplaced genomic scaffold scaffold00014, whole genome shotgun sequence.
GACAAUCUGUCCGAGUGGUCAAGGAGUGAGUCUAGAACCAUACGCCCCGCGUAGUUCGAUCCCGUCUUUCGGGAGUAAACUCAUGGGCUCUGCCCGCACAGGUUCGAAUCCUGUGGUUGUCG